rnacentral:rRNA from 1 species
UACGGAGGGUGCGAGCGUUAAUCGGAAUUACUGGGCGUAAAGCGCGCGUAGGCGGUUUGUUAAGUCAGCUGUGAAAUCCCCGGGCUCAACCUGGGAAUUGCCGUUGAUACUGACAGACUUGAGUACGAGAGAGGGAGGUAGAAUUCCACGUGUAGCGGUGAAAUGCGUAGAUAUGUGGAGGAAUACCAGUGGCGAAGGCGGCCUCCUGGCUCGAUACUGACGCUGAGGUGCGAAAGCGUGGGGAGCAAACAGG